CCUACGGGAGGCAGCAGUAAGGAAUAUUGGGCAAUGGACGAAAGUCUGACCCAGCCAUGCCGCGUGGAGGAUGAAGGUCUCUGGAUUGUAAACUUCUUUUAUUUGGGAAGCGGUACCAGAUGAAUAAGCACCGGCUAACUCCGUGCCAGCAGCCGCGGUAAUACGGAGGGUGCAAGCGUUAUCCGGAUUCACUGGGUUUAAAGGGUGCGUAGGCGGGCAGGUAAGUCAGUGGUGAAAUCUCCGGGCUUAACCCGGAAACUGCCGUUGAUACUAUCUGUCUUGAAUAUCGUGGAGGUAAGCGGAAUAUGUCAUGUAGCGGUGAAAUGCUUAGAUAUGACAUAGAACACCGAUUGCGAAGGCAGCUUACUACACGAUAUUGACGCUGAGGCACGAAAGCGUGGGGAGCAAACAGGAUUAGAUACCCUUGUAGUC
rnacentral:rRNA from 1 species